rnacentral:rRNA from 1 species
UGGGGAAUCUUGCACAAUGGGGGAAACCCUGAUGCAGCGACGCCGCGUGAGCGAUGAAGCCCUUCGGGGUGUAAAGCUCUUUCGACCGGAACGAUAAUGACGGUACCGGGAGAAGAAGCUGCGGCUAACUACGUGCCAGCAGCCGCGGUAAUACGUAGGCAGCGAGCGUUGUUCGGAGUUACUGGGCGUAAAGCGUGCGUAGGCGGUGCCAUAAGUCUGUUGUGAAAUCUCCCGGCUCAACUGGGAGGGUGCGGUGGAAACUGUGGUGCUGGAGUGUGGGAGAGGUAGGCGGAAUUCCUGGUGUAGCGGUGAAAUGCGUAGAUAUCAGGAGGAACACCUGCGGUGUAGACGGCUUACUGGACCACGACUGACGCUGAGGCACGAAAGCGUGGGGAGCAAACAGGAUUAGAUACCCUGGUAGUCCACGCCCUAAACGAUGCAUACUUGGUGUGGGUAAUUCAUUUUAUCUGUGCCGGAGCUAACGCGUUAAGUAUGCCGCCUGGGGAGUACGGUCGCAAGGCUGA